AACGAACGCUGGCGGCAUGCCUAACACAUGCAAGUCGAACGCGGCCUUCGGGGCUUGUUUCGCACGGGUGCUUAACGAGUGGGAACCUGCCCUUAGGUUCCGUAUAACUCCCCGAAGGGGGUGCUAAUACCAGGUAAUGUAUUCCGACCAAAGAUUUAUCGGCUUGGGAUGGGCCCGCGUUAGAUUCGCUUGUUGGUAGGGUAAAAGACCACCAAGGCGACGAUCCAUAGCUGGUCUGAGCGGAUGAUCAGCAACACUGUGAGUGAGAGACGGCACAGAUUCCUAGGGGAGGAAGGAGGGGGGAACAAUGGACAAUGGGUGAGAGCCUGAGCCAGCAAGGCCGCGUGAGUGAGGAAGGCCUGAGGGUUGUAAAGCUCUUUGAAACGGGAUGAUAAUGACAGUACCGGGCGAAUAAGCGCCGGCUAACUCCGUG
rnacentral:rRNA from 1 species